rnacentral:rRNA from 1 species
AGUGAACGCUGGCGGCAGGCCUAAUACAUGCAAGUCGAACGGCAGCACGGCAGAGCUUGCUCUGUGGGUGGCGAGUGGCGGACGGGUGAGGAAUACAUGGGAAUCUGCCCAGUCGUGGGGGAUAACGUAGGGAAACUUACGCUAAUACCGCAUGCGCCCUUCGGGGAAAGGCCGGGGACCUUCGGGCCUGGCGCGAUUGGAUGAGCCCAUGUCGGAUUAGCUAGUUGGCGGGGUAAUGGCCCACCAAGGCGACGAUCCGUAGCUGGUCUGAGAGGAUGAUCAGCCACACUGGAACUGAGACACGGUCCAGACUCCUACGGGAGGCAGCAGUAGGGAAUAUUGGACAAUGGGCGCAAGCCUGAUCCAGCCAUGCCGCGUGAGUGAAGAAGGCCCUCGGGUUGUAAAGCUCUUUUGUCCGGAAAGAAAAGCGCCGGGUUAAUACCCUGGUGUCCUGACGGUACCGGAAGAAUAAGCACCGGCUAACUUCGUGCCAGCAGCCG